rnacentral:rRNA from 1 species
AUUGAACGCUGGCGUAAUGCUUUACACAUGCAAGUCGAGCGGCAGCACGGGGGCAACCCUGGUGGCGAGCGGCGAACGGGUGAGUAAUACAUCGGAACAUGCCCAGUCGUGGGGGAUAACACUUCGAAAGAAGUGCUAAUACCGCAUACGUCCUGAGGGAGAAAGCGGGGGAUCUUCGGACCUCGCGCGAUUGGAGUGGCCGAUGUCAGAUUAGCUAGUUGGUGGGGUAAAGGCCUACCAAGGCAACGAUCUGUAGCUGGUCUGAGAGGAUGAUCAGCCACACUGGGACUGAGACACGGCCCAGACUCCUACGGGAGGCAGCAGUGGGGAAUUUUGGACAAUGGGGGCAACCCUGAUUCAGCCAUUCCGCGUGAGUGAAGAAGGCCUUCGGGUUGUAAAGCUCUUUCGGCAGGAACGAAACGGCGAGCUCUAACAUAGCUUGCUAAUGACGGUACCUGAAGAAGAAGCACCGGCUAACUACGUGCCAGCAGCCGCGGUAAUAC